rnacentral:rRNA from 1 species
UACGGGGGGGGCAAGCGUUGUUCGGAAUUACUGGGCGUAAAGGGCGCGUAGGCGGCUCGCUAAGUCGGAUGUGAAAACUCUGGGCUCAACCCAGAGCCUGCAUUCGAAACUGACGAGCUCGAGUUCUGGAGGGGAAAGCGGAAUUCCUGGUGUAGCGGUGAAAUGCGUAGAUAUCAGGAGGAACACCGGUGGCGAAGGCGGCUUUCUGGACAGAAACUGACGCUGAUGCGCGAAAGCUAGGGUAGCAAACGGG